AGAUCAGAAGUUGCAGAGCAAAAUCUUUCUGAAGUUGUGGAUGAAUCUCUUUUUCUAAGAAAUUUAACCCUCUUCUAUCUGAAACUGCAAGCUAAAUUGCUAUUGCCUGAGUCUACCAUUCAAGGCAUUGUUGAAGAAUUUCAAAACAUCCAUGACAUUGGGCAGUCAUAUUUUCUUAGCAAACUGAGAGAAAAGCUUGCUUUGCUUGAAUUACCAGAGGAAAGGAUUAAUGAUGUGAUUGAUCAGUUGUCUAGGGAGGAUUUGCUGACAGCUUGUAAUAGUGGAGUUCUAAGUACAGCACAGAGGAGAAAGACUACUUUCAAGCAAGAUUUCUACUAUGUUGAGCCAGUCCCUAUUUUUUUAGGAGUCAGUGAAAGAAAUGGGAAAGAGUACUUUGCUCAAUAUGUCCCAGUUAAACAGACCAUCAGUGCUCUUUCAGUGCCAGUCUGUGAUCAAUAUGAACAGAUGCACUCGCAAACAGCUGAAAAUGAUCUGUUUCGGGAUGUAAAGGAUGGUGACAACCUGGGAUCCCACAUGAUUGGUGGUUUUGUCGAGAACUUUAGCCGAAGCCUACAUUUCUGCAGGUAUGUCUAAUUUAGAGGAAAUAAAACUUGCCAUCUCCUCUUCGUUACCUGGUCUCUCUGAUGAAACGCUUCAAAAAUUUAUCCAUGGUCUUUCUGCUAUUGGUGUUGAGACAAAAGAUGACCUCCGGUAUGUCAAAGAAGAAGACCUCAUGGAAUUCCUCAGGCCUAUACAAUGCCGCAAACUACUGAA